rnacentral:rRNA from 1 species
UAGCUUGCUACCUGACCUAGCGGCGGACGGGUGAGUAAUGCUUAGGAAUCUGCCUAUUAGUGGGGGACAACAUUCCGAAAGGAAUGCUAAUACCGCAUACGUCCUACGGGAGAAAGCAGGGGAUCUUCGGACCUUGCGCUAAUAGAUGAGCCUAAGUCAGAUUAGCUAGUUGGUGGGGUAAAGGCCUACCAAGGCGACGAUCUGUAGCGGGUCUGAGAGGAUGAUCCGCCACACUGGGACUGAGACACGGCCCAGACUCCUACGGGAGGCAGCAGUGGGGAAUAUUGGACAAUGGGCGAAAGCCUGAUCCAGCCAUGCCGCGUGUGUGAAGAAGGCCUUUUGGUUGUAAAGCACUUUAAGCGAGGAGGAGGCUACUGAGAUUAAUACUCUUGGAUAGUGGACGUUACUCGCAGAAUAAGCACCGGCUAACUCUGUGCCAGCAGCCGCGGUAAUACAGAGGGUGCGAGCGUUAAUCGGAUUUACUGGGCGUAAAGCGUGCGUAGGCGGCUUUUUAAGUCGGAUGUGAAAUCCCUGAGCUUAACUUAGGAAUUGCAUUCGAUACUGGGAAGCUAGAGUAUGGGAGAGGAUGGUAGAAUUCCAGGUGUAGCGGUGAAAUGCGUAGAGAUCUGGAGGAAUACCGAUGGCGAAGGCAGCCAUCUGGCCUAAUACUGACGCUGAGGUACGAAAGCAUGGGGAGCAAACAGGAUUAGAUACCCUGGUAGUCCAUGCCGUAAACGAUGUCUACUAGCCGUUGGGGCCUUUGAGGCUUUAGUGGCGCAGCUAACGCGAUAAGUAGACCGCCUGGGGAGUACGGUCGCAAGACUAAAACUCAAAUGAAUUGACGGGGGCCCGCACAAGCGGUGGAGCAUGUGGUUUAAUUCGAUGCAACGCGAAGAACCUUACCUGGUCUUGACAUAGUAAGAACUUUCCAGAGAUGGAUUGGUGCCUUCGGGAACUUACAUACAGGUGCUGCAUGGCUGUCGUCAGCUCGUGUCGUGAGAUGUUGGGUUAAGUCCCGCAACGAGCGCAACCCUUUUCCUUAUUUGCCAGCGGGUUAAGCCGGGAACUUUAAGGAUACUGCCAGUGACAAACUGGAGGAAGGCGGGGACGACGUCAAGUCAUCAUGGCCCUUACGACCGGGGCUACACACGUGCUACAAUGGUCGGUACAAAGGGUUGCUACCUAGCGAUAGGAUGCUAAUCUCAAAAAGCCGAUCGUAGUCCGGAUUGGAGUCUGCAACUCG